AGUUGAGCAUGCUUCUCUUUUUCCUCUUCUUGGACAGAAGCAGUAGGUUUUUCAUCAUCUUCUAGAGGCUCUGUAUUGACACCGCUUCUAUUCAUUUCUGGUGAUUGAUCUUUCUGAAUAACCCCAGUUUUUGAGUCCUCGUAGUCCUCUUCAGCAUUUUCUUCAACACGUGCAUCUCCAUUAUCAUCUUCUGCAUCAUCAUCUAGUUGAUCUUCAACAUCAUCAUCCAUUUCUUCCAUGUAAUUAUCCUCGUCAAGAUCCACCCGUUCCUCAAUUUCUGUUCCCUCUGCCAUACUGUGUCUCUGUUUCACGCCCCAAAUCUUAUCAUGCAAAUAACUACAGUUAAAUGCUUUGCUUUCUGGGGUGACACUGUUUAUGUUUUCUUUGUUUCUGAUUCCUCUGUUUCUGUAUUUUCCUCUCUUGUGCAGCCCACUGUGUGUGUACCAGUUAUCCG
rnacentral:misc_RNA from 1 species